AGGCUGAGGCAGGAGAAUCAUUUGAACCCAGGCAGCAGAGGUUGCAAUGAGCCAAGAUCACACCACUGCACUCUAGCAGGUUGACAGAGUUAAGACUCCAUCUCAAAAACAAACAAAAAACCAUUUAUGAAGAAGGCUUAUGUGGAGAAAUUACAUUUCCCUCUAUCUUUAAAUUAUCUGCAAAUUACCUAAACUUUCAUAUUCAGCAUUAUUUCUAACUUUUUUUUUCCUUUUUGAGAUGGAGUCUCUCUCUGUCGCCCAGGCUGGAGUGCAGUGACAGAGCAAAGACUCCCUCUCAAA